rnacentral:tRNA from 1 species
UCCCUAGAGGACUAGUGGUUAGGCUACGGCGCUCUCACUGCUGCAGCCCAGGUUCGAUUCCCGGCCUGGGAA